rnacentral:rRNA from 1 species
AGUGAACGCUGGCGGUAGGCCUAACACAUGCAAGUCGAACGGCAGCACAGUAAGAGCUUGCUCUUACGGGUGGCGAGUGGCGGACGGGUGAGGAAUACAUCGGAAUCUACUUUUUCGUGGGGGGUAACGUAGGGAAACUUACGCUAAUACCGCAUACGACCUACGGGUGAAAGCAGGGGAUCUUCGGACCUUGCGCGAUUGAAUGAGCCGAUGUCGGAUUAGCUAGUUGGCGGGGUAACGGCCCACCAAGGCGACGCUCCGUAGCUGGUCUGAGAGGAUGAUCAGCGACACUGGAACUGAGACACGGUCCAGACUCCUACGGGAGGCAGCAGUGGGGAAUAUUGGACAAUGGGCGAAAGCCUGAUCCAGCCAUACCGCGUGGGUGAAGAAGGCCUUCGGGUGGUAAAGCCCUUUUGUUGGGAAAGAAAAGCAGCAGGUUAAUACCCCGCUGUUCUGACGGUACCCAAAGAAUAAGCACCGGCUAACUUCGUG